rnacentral:rRNA from 1 species
AGCGAACGCUGGCGGCAGGCCUAACACAUGCAAGUCGAACGGAUCCUUCGGGAUUAGUGGCGGACGGGUGAGUAACACGUGGGAACGUGCCCUUUGGUUCGGAACAACUCAGGGAAACUUGAGCUAAUACCGGAUGUGCCCUUCGGGGGAAAGAUUUAUCGCCAUUGGAGCGGCCCGCGUCUGAUUAGCUAGUUGGUGAGGUAACGGCCCACCAAGGCGACGAUCAGUAGCUGGUCUGAGAGGAUGAUCAGCCACACUGGGACUGAGACACGGCCCAGACUCCUACGGGAGGCAGCAGUGGGGAAUCUUGCGCAAUGGGCGAAAGCCUGACGCAGCCAUGCCGCGUGAAUGAUGAAGGUCUUAGGAUUGUAAAAUUCUUUCAGCGGGGACGAUAAUAACGGUACCCGCAGAAGAAGCUCCGGCUAACUUCGUG